rnacentral:rRNA from 1 species
GGGGACUUCGGUCCGCCGGCGAGUGGCGAACGGGUGAGUAAAGUAUCGGAACGUACCUUUCAGUGGGGGAUAACGUAGCGAAAGUUACGCUAAUACCGCAUAUUCUGUGGACAGGAAAGCAGGGGAUCGCAAGACCUUGCGCUGAUUGAGCGGCCGAUAUCAGAUUAGCUAGUUGGUGGGGUAAAGGCCUACCAAGGCGACGAUCUGUAGCGGGUCUGAGAGGAUGAUCCGCCACACUGGAACUGAGACACGGUCCAGACUCCUACGGGAGGCAGCAGUGGGGAAUUUUGGACAAUGGGGGCAACCCUGAUCCAGCCAUGCCGCGUGAGUGAAGAAGGCCUUCGGGUUGUAAAGCUCUUUCGGCCGGGAAGAAAUCGCACAGGCUAAUACCCUGUGUGGAUGACGGUACCGGAAUAAGAAGCACCGGCUAACUACGUGCCAGCAGCCGCGGUAAUACGUAGGGUGCGAGCGUUAAUCGGAAUUACUGGGCGUAAAGCGUGCGCAGGCGGUUUCGUAAGACAGAGGUGAAAUCCCCGGGCUCAACCUGGGAACUGCCUUUGUGACUGCGAGGCUAGAGUAC